GAUGAAGAACGCAGCGAAAUGCGAUAAGUAGUGUGAAUUGCAGAAUUCAGUGAAUCAUCGAAUCUUUGAACGCACAUUGCACCCCUUGGUAUUCCAUGGGGCAUGCCUGUUCGAGCGUCAUUUGUACCUUCAAGCUUUGCUUGGUGUUGGGUGUUUGUCCUGAGGGACUCGCCUUAAAGUAAUUGGCAGCCAGUGUUUUGGUUUUGAAGCGCAGCACAAGUCGCGAUUCAAAGCUAUACGCCAGCUUCCACAAGCCUUUUUCACUUUUGACCUCGGAUCAGGUAGGGAUACCCGCUGAACUUAAGCAUAUCAAUAAGCGGAGGA
rnacentral:misc_RNA from 1 species